UUCUUUUUGUUAAUAAUUUAAAGUUUGGCCUGCUCAAUGAUAUUUUAAAUAGCUGCGGUAAUUUGACCGUACAAAGGUAGCAUAAUCAUUAGUUUUUUAAUUGGAAGCUAGAAUGAAUGGUUUAACGAGAAAAAAGCUGUCUUAUUUUAAUUAUUAAAAUUUAAUUUUUAAGUUAAAAAGCUUAAAUAAUUUUAAAAGACGAGAAGACCCCAUAGAUCUUUAUUAAUCUUAUUUUAUAAUAUAUUUUAGAUGUAUAAUUUUAUUAUAUUUUAAUUUAAUUUUAUUGGGGUGAUAUAAAAAUUAAAUAAACUUUUUAUUAUAUUUAUAUAUUAAUUAAUAAUUUUUUGAUCCAUUAAUAAUGAUUAUAAGUUUAAGUUACCUUGGGGAUAACAGCGUAAUUUUUUUGAAGAGUUCUUAUCGAUAAAAAAGAUUGCGACCUCGAUGUUGGAUUAAGAAAAUAAUUUUGGUGCAAAAUUUAAAUAUUAGGGUCUGUUCGACCCUUAAAUUCUUACAUGAUCUGAGUUCAGACCGGCGUGAGCCAGGUUGGUUUCUAUCUUUAAAAUUUUAAUAUAUUUUAGUACGAAAGGACCAAAUAUAUGAUAUAUUAUUUAGUUUUUGAAUGAAAUUGUUAUUUUGGCAGAUUAGUGCGAUAAAUUUAGAAUUUAUUAAUGUAUAUUUUAUACAGAUAAUAUUUGUAUUUUGUUGAAUUAAUUUUAGUAAUUUUAAUAUCUAUUAUUAUAAUUAUUUGUGUUUUAAUUAGAGUGGCUUUUUUGACUUUAAUGGAACGGAAGGUUUUAGGAUAUAUUCAAAUUCGUAGGGGAACCACUG
rnacentral:rRNA from 1 species